GUCAGUCAGCCAGUCUUUACAUAUGGUGCCCACUACACACCCACACACAGGGAGGUCGAAGUAGCUGUGGCUUUAAAAUGCACACAGAUGUGUAAACAUACAUAUUUACCCAAGUGCAAACAUGUUGCUUUGUCAAUUAACAUCACUGUCCAUCAAGAGUUCAAGCCUGUCCCAUUAGCGAAGACCUCCCUCCUUCUCGAUCUUCUGUCUCUGCUUCUCCCCCUUUCACUGCUCAUUUCCUGUUACUUGGUUACCGGUUGCCUCGAACUGCUUGGGCCAAUUGCGUUGCCAUGGUGACCAUGCCCAUUCUGUCGUUUCCCAACAGCCUCUUGGGUCUCCUGUCCUGACAUUCCCCACUGCCCCCCAGCCUGCGCGCCCAGGCCCUGGCCCACCCUACGCUGAUGUCCCACAAGGCUGUCUGUGUGUGUUUGCCUGUGUGCAUUCGUGUGCUAGCUCCCUCCCCCUCACUUCUUCCUCAGUUUGGACGACAAACAGACAGACCACCUCCCUGUUCAAGCAAUUUAACACCUGCUGAAGAAUUCAUGGCUUAUCUGCAUAAAGACAGAGCAGCUUUUAGACAAAAACACACUGCAUUGUGAGUGAAGUUCCAUGGCCAAACUUAAGGUGGCAGCAGCGAAUAGAUCAUCAGUCAACUUCUCAUCAGUCAUCAAGUUCCCUUAGAUUGGUAAAAUGUUCAUUUUUAUGCAAAAGAACCAAACCAGACCAGGCACUGGAUGUGAUGAAUGAAGCAAGUACUUCAAGUUAUAUUAAAGGCAUAGUUCACCCAAAAUUACAAUUCUAUCAUGUUGUUGCAAACCUUCUUUCUUCCAUGAAGCACAAAGAAAGAUAUUCUGAAGAAUUUAUCAGCUGGUAUUCAAGUCAGUGGGGUCCAAUACAACAUCAUCUUCAUACAGGUAUGUUCGGAAUGAAACAGCAGGCUGAGUAAAUGAGGACAGAAGGCUUCAAGGCUUCUCUUUAAUUUAUACACAAAGUCAGAGUGCAUCCCACUAAACAUCUCAGAACCAGGAUGAGACUACAUCUGCUUGACACUAAUCACCACAGUUAGAGAGCAAGGCUUGCCGUUGUAAGGCUGAGAUGAGUCAUGUGACCCUUAGAGGGACCUGAAAGGAGGAGAGAUUGCUUCUCCCCAGCCUCCUUCCCUCCUCCAGUUCUAAAUGACAGGGUUAUGGAGACGAUCGUGAAAGGUUCAUCAUUGUCCUCCUCUGAAGGGGGAAGGGGAGAGUAUUAAGGGGUGUUUAAUUAUGAACCAGGGGCUUAUUAACAAAGUGAAAUGAUAAAUCCCCUCCCUACGCAAAUACACUCACACCCUCCUCCUUUUCAUCCCACCAGCUGAUCCUGAUGUAAUUCAGGCCGUGGGGUGUUCCGGCACCAAUCUAAAGGGGCAAAGGUCAAGAAAGUCAAAAGGUCUUCUAAGGGACAGAAGAGAGAUUCUGUGCUGCACACGUGCUGUCAUUAUUAUAACCACUUGACACACCAAGAAUCACAUAUCUCUUGUUAACAUCUUAUUUUAUUGCUGUUUCCAUAGCUUGUUUAUUUAAUACGUAAAUCUAUAUUCCCGCAGAUGUGACUGGAUAUGAGUGCAGAAGGAUGUUGUGGAUGCACAGAGAGAAAACUGAAGCGAUCAACUGAAAGGAAGAGAAGGAUGGGAAGAAACCGAGGUAAAGGAGGACAAAAAAGAAGGAAGAGAGGGAGAAAUGAAGAGAAGAGAGGGAGAGAUUAAAAGAAAAAGGGUGACUGUUUUUUUUUUCCUAAGCUAAGUUCUAAGCUAAUGCGCAGCUUUAGUAACACCCACCCUGAGCCGGCAAAUAUAAGCAGCAGAAUGCACACACACACAUCCAUACAAAACGGCUGCCUCCUCUGCACUGGCACCGUAAUCCCUUCUCUCCCAUUCACUUCUGCACACACACACUCUCAAUGGGAGUGAGAUACACCCUUUGUUGCUGUAACAGAAACCUGGCAUGCUGAAGCCAAACGCUGGUGAUGCGCACUGUGCGUGUGGCCAAAACGAAGAGAGAAACAUAGAAAGGGAAUGACACGGGAACAUAAACUCAUAGAAACACAUGCAAAAGGACAAAAAUAAGAGUGUUCGUUUCAGUGCCAGUACGUUUAAUCAUAGCCAGAAGGCAUGAUGUAGAAAUGUUAGGGUAAGCUCUGCUUUUAACCUCCCUGCCUGUCAGCGAUUAGUCAUGUGAGCUGAUCUGCUAACUCAGAAAGAAUACUUAGGCCUGGAACAGACCAAUCACGGGCCGGACCUGGAAUAUGCACAUCUCUGUCCAGACUUCGGUCAAAAUGAUGAAACUAAGAGAAAUUCACACCUGAAUAGUACAUUGCAGCAAGAGUUUGUAUAGAGGUGUACACACCAGUGUGGUUACAGUUAUGUAACCUUAAUUUUGGCUUAUUAUUAAAAAUAAUAAUAAUAAUAAUAAUUUCAAGUGGGAAAUGACUGCCAAAAACACAGAAUGUAUCAAAUACAUCUGAAUGAUCAUCAAUAAAAGAAAAAUCUAAUUAGAUGUUUUUAAUUACAUUCUAUUGGGGAAGUCGUGGCCUAAUGGUUAGAGAGUCGGACUCGCAAUCCAAGGGUUGUGAGUUUGAGUCUAGG